AUUGAACGCUGGCGGCAGGCCUAACACAUGCAAGUCGAGCGAGCGGCGGACGGGUGAGUAAUGUAUGGGGAUCUGCCCGAUAGAGGGGGAUAACUACUGGAAACUGUGGCUAAUACCGCAUACUAUCGGAUGAACCCCUAGGGGAUUAGCUAGUAGGUGGGGUAAAGGCUCACCUAGGAGACGAUCUCUAGCUGGUCUGAGAGGAUGAUCAGCCACACGGGGACGGAGACACGGCCCAGACUCCUACGGGAGGCAGCAGUGGGGAAUAUUGCACAAUGGGCGAAAGGCUGAUGCAGCCAUGCCGCGUGAGUGAAGAAGGUUUUCGGAUCGUAAAGCACUGUUAGUAGAGAAGCGGUAUCUAACCAAAAAGCCACGGCUAACUACGUGCCAGCAGCCGCGGUAAUAC
rnacentral:rRNA from 1 species